rnacentral:rRNA from 1 species
UACGGGGGGGGCAAGCGUUGUUCGGAAUUACUGGGCGUAAAGGGCUCGUAGGUGGCCAACUAAGUCAGACGUGAAAUCCCUCGGCUUAACCGGGGAACUGCGUCUGAUACUGGAUGGCUUGAGUUCGGGAGAGGGAUGCGGAAUUCCAGGUGUAGCGGUGAAAUGCGUAGAUAUCAGGAGGAACACCGGUGGUGUAGACGGCUUUCUGGACCGUAACUGACGCUGAGACACGAAAGCGUGGGUAGCAAACAGG